rnacentral:lncRNA from 1 species
UAUUAUUCCCAUUUUGUAGAUGAGAAGCUGAUUUUGAGGGUCCUGAAAUUUGUGAUGGGGAACCUGGAACGUGUGGCCUCCGAGUCACCACGGUAGGAAAGAGAAAACUGAGGAAAGCACUGCGGCCCCAAACUGCCUCAGCUCAGACUGGGACAUGUCACUUCUGUUCACAGUCCAUUGGCCAGAACUAAAUGCACCUACCCAAGCCUUCACGAAAAAGGCUGAGAGACCAAGGGGAGCCCACGGACAAUCAGUGCCAAGGCGUGUUCCAUGGAUGAGUGUUUCCUUCUGUCCUGCUUCUGAAGAUGGACCUCACAGUCUUGCAACUAACAUGGGAACCAGUAAUCUCAUGCCAGAGGAAGCACUCCUGAGGCAGAGGAGAUUUCAAGAGAGAACAGGUUGA